UCUGGGACAAGCCCUGGAAACGGGGUCUAAUACCGGAUAACACUCCUGCCUGCAUGGGCGGGGGUUGAAAGCUCCGGCGGUGAAGGAUGAGCCCGCGGCCUAUCAGCUUGUUGGUGGGGUAAUGGCCCACCAAGGCGACGACGGGUAGCCGGCCUGAGAGGGCGACCGGCCACACUGGGACUGAGACACGGCCCAGACUCCUACGGGAGGCAGCAGUGGGGAAUAUUGCACAAUGGGCGAAAGCCUGAUGCAGCGACGCCGCGUGAGGGAUGACGGCCUUCGGGUUGUAAACCUCUUUCAGCAGGGAAGAAGCGAAAGUGACGGUACCUGCAGAAGAAGCGCCGGCUAACUACGUGCCAGCAGCCGCGGUAAUACGUAGGGCGCAAGCGUUGUCCGGAAUUAUUGGGCGUAAAGAGCUCGUAGGCGGCUUGUCACGUCGGAUGUGAAAGCCCGAGGCUUAACCUCGGGUCUGCAUUCGAUACGGGCUAGCUAGAGUGUGGUAGGGGAGAUCGGAAUUCCUGGUGUAGCGGUGAAAUGCGCAGAUAUCAGGAGGAACACCGGUGGCGAAGGCGGAUCUCUGGGCCAUUACUGACGCUGAGGAGCGAAAGCGUGGGGAGCGAACAGGAUUAGAUACCCUGGUAGUCCACGCCGUAAACGUUGGGAACUAGGUGUUGGCGACAUUCCACGUCGUCGGUGCCGCAGCUAACGCAUUAAGUUCCCCGCCUGG
rnacentral:rRNA from 1 species